rnacentral:rRNA from 1 species
GCGCGUAGGCGGGCUGACAAGUCUGGGGUGAAAUCCCGCGGCUCAACCGUGGAACUGCCUUAGAUACUGUCGGCCUCGAGGAAGGUAGGGGCAUGCGGAACUAACGGUGGAGCGGUGAAAUGCGUUGAUAUCGUUAGGAACUCCGGUGGCGAAAGCGGCGUGCUGGACCUUUUCUGACGCUGAGGCGCGAAAGCUAGGGGAGCAAACGGGAUUAGAUACCCCGGUAGUCCUAGCCCUAAACGAUGGGUACUAGGUAGUAGACGAGAUAUGCGUUUACUGCCGAAGCUAAAGUGCUAAGUACCCCGCCUGGGGAGUAUGGUCGCAAGGCUGAAACUCAAAGAAAUUGACGGGGGCUCACACAAGCGGUGGAGCAUGUGGCUUAAUUCGAGACUACGCGAAGAACCUUAUCCUGGACUUGACAUGUGCGAAAGCGUCAGGUAGUAGAAGCCGGAAACGGUAACGAACCUAACAAUAGGGAGCCUGAUACAGGUGCUGCAUGGCUGUCGUCAGCUCGUGUCGUGAGAAUGUCGCGUUAAGUCGCAUAACGAGCGAAACCCUUACCUUUAGUU